GCCGGAUGUGAUAGAACGUUAAAUGCUCCAGUUUCCUCGGAUCACUGAAGGUAAGCUACGUUGUUCGCGGUUAGUAUCUGGAUGGGUGGCCAUGUGGACAAUCACGUGCUGCUGACU
rfam:Asian citrus Psyllid, Diaphorina citri - Florida Strain, whole genome shotgun sequence.